CUUAUUAGAUGUCACAGAAGAACAUAUCUGCUCUACUUCAGAUAGUAAUAUUUGUGAUUAUCCAGAUAGCAAAAAUGAUUAUUUGGAAAGAUUAAUUGCUGCAGUGUUUGAGAAAGAACCUCUAUGGAAUUCAACACUACCUUAUAAAUUCAGAGGACCAUCGGCUAUAAAAACAUUAUGGACAGAUAUAGAUUGUCGUUUAGGUACAGCUCCUGGUACAAGCCAGACAAAAUGGAAGAAUAUAAGAGACCGUUUUGUAAAGGAAUAUAAUUUGGUUAAUUCUUACAUCCCAAGUGGCAGUGCAGCCAAAAAAAAGGAAAGUACUUGGUCCUUUUAUGAAAGUUUACGUUUCCUAGAACCAACAGUAAAUUAUAGAAGAACCAUAAGCAAUAUUGAAAAUGUGGUUCCAUCAUCAUCAUCAUCCUCAGUGGAACAAUCCUUUUCUGCUUCCAGAGCAAAUUAUGC